rnacentral:rRNA from 1 species
GACGAACGCUGGCGGCGUGCCUAAUACAUGCAAGUUGAGCGCUGAAGGUUGGUACUUGUACCAACUGGAUGAGCAGCGAACGGGUGAGUAACGCGUGGGGAAUCUGCCUUUUAGCGGGGGACAACAUUUGGAAACGAAUGCUAAUACCGCAUAAAAACUUUAAACACAAGUUUUAAGUUUGAAAGAUGCAAUUGCAUCGCUCAAAGAUGAUCCCGCGUUGUAUUAGCUAGUUGGUGAGGUAAAGGCUCACCAAGGCGAUGAUACAUAGCCGACCUGAGAGGGUGAUCGGCCACAUUGGGACUGAGACACGGCCCAAACUCCUACGGGAGGCAGCAGUAGGGAAUCUUCGGCAAUGGACGAAAGUCUGACCGAGCAACGCCGCAUGAGUGAAGAAGGUUUUCGGAUCGUAAAACUCUGUUGGUAGAGAAGAACGUUGGUGAGAGUGGAAAGCGCAUCAAGGGACGGUAACUACCCAGAAAGGGACGGCUAACUACGU